UACGGGGGGGGCAAGCGUUGUUCGGAAUUACUGGGCGUAAAGGGCUUGUAGGUGGCCAACUAAGUCAGACGUGAAAUCCCUCAGCUUAACUUGGGAACUGCGCUCGAAACUACUUGGCUAGAGUGUGGCAGAGGGAGGUGGAAUUCCACGUGUAGCGGUGAAAUGCGUAGAGAUGUGGAGGAACACCGAUGGCGAAGGCAGCCUCCUGGGCCAACACUGACGCUCAUGCACGAAAGCGUGGGGAGCAAACAGG
rnacentral:rRNA from 1 species